GACGAACGCUGGCGGCGUGCCUAAUACAUGCAAGUUGAGCGCUGAAGGUUGGUACUUGUACCGACUGGAUGAGCAGCGAACGGGUGAGUAACGCGUGGGGAAUCUGCCUUUGAGCGGGGGACAACAUUUGGAAACGAAUGCUAAUACCGCAUAAAAACUUUAAACACAAGUUUUAAGUUUGAAAGAUGCAAUUGCAUCACUCAAAGAUGAUCCCGCGUUGUAUUAGCUAGUUGGUGAGGUAAAGGCUCACCAAGGCGAUGAUACAUAGCCGACCUGAGAGGGUGAUCGGCCACAUUGGGAUUGAGACACGGCCCAAACUCCUACGGGAGGCAGCAGUAGGGAAUCUUCGGCAAUGGACGACAGUCUGACCGAGCAACGCCGCGUGAGUGAAGAAGGUUUUCGGAUCGUAAAACUCUGUUGGUAGAGAAGAACGUUGGUGAGAGUGGAAAGCUCAUCAAGUGACGGUAACUACCCAGAAAGGGACGGCUAACUACGUG
rnacentral:rRNA from 1 species